GCCUUCGUGGUGUAACGGUAGCACACUCGGCGCGUAUUCGAGAAACCCAGGUUCGACUCCCGGUGAAGGCA
rnacentral:tRNA from 1 species